rnacentral:rRNA from 1 species
AGUGAACGCUGGCGGUAGGCCUAACACAUGCAAGUCGAACGGCAGCACAGUAAGAGCUUGCUCUUACGGGUGGCGAGUGGCGGACGGGUGAGGAAUACAUCGGAAUCUACUUUUUCGUGGGGGAUAGCGUAGGGAAACUUACGCUAAUACCGCAUACGACCUACGGGUGAAAGCAGGGGAUCUUCGGACCUUGCGCGAUUGAAUGAGCCGAUGUCGGAUUAGCUAGUUGGCGGGGUAAAGGCCCACCAAGGCGACGAUCCGUAGCUGGUCUGAGAGGAUGAUCAGCCACACUGGAACUGAGACACGGUCCAGACUCCUACGGGAGGCAGCAGUGGGGAAUAUUGGACAAUGGGCGAAAGCCUGAUCCAGCCAUACCGCGUGGGUGAAGAAGGCCUUCGGGUUGUAAAGCCCUUUUGUUGGGAAAGAAAAGCAGCAGGUUAAUACCCCGCUGUUCUGACGGUACCCAAAGAAUAAGCACCGGCUAACUUCGUG